GUUUUUCUAAUAAUCAAAGCAAUCAAAGCCAUUAUCCCUACUCUAAUUGGGCUGUGCGUGGUACUCGCAAUAAUUUCCCACAACGGGCGCCUUGUUAUUCCGGAUCCUUCCUAAUUUAAACGCGCAGGCAAAGGAGAAGCGGCUAUUAAGACAGCUCCUUAGUUCUCUGUUAGUCUUACCAAAAACUCAAACCAGUCCAAGCCCACACCAUGGAAGACAACGGGGAGCCUUUAACCGGGGGGAAUAGCAAAAUCACGCGAACUGUCUCGAACGCCUAUGAUGAAUUUCAUAGCUUCAGAUCAUACCUUCGAUGGAUGUGCCUGGAUCAAUCCAAUAAAGGGUUGAUUUGCCUUUCUUGGUUCAUGUUCAUUCUCUUUGCCAUUGUCGUCCCUGCAAUCUCCCAUUUCGUGUUGGCCUGUGCCUCCUGCGAUAGCAAGCACACAAGGCCUUAUGAUAGCGUCGUGCAAUUGUCGUUGAGUAGCGUCGCCACUUUGUCUUUCGUUUGUUUGUCGAAAUUUAUUAGGAGUUAUGGGCUGAGGAGGUUCUUGUUCUUCGACAAGCUCUGCGAUGAGAGCGAGACUGUGAGAAACGGGUACAUGAAUAAGCUCAAUAGGUCAUUGAAGCUUCUGUCAUUCUUCGUCGUCCCAUGCUUCAUUGCAGAAUCUGCGUACAAGAUAUGGUGGUAUGCCUCCGGUGCCUCUCAAAUACCAUUCUUGGGCAAUGUCAUCCUAAGCGACACCGUUGCUUGCAUAAUGGAGCUGUGCUCUUGGCUUUACCGUACCACUAUCAUCUUCUUAGUGUGCGUCCUCUUCCAUCUUAUCUGCCACCUCCAGAUCCUACGCCUCCAGGACUUCGCUCAGGUUUUUCAAGUUGAUUCCGAUGUCGAAUCUGUGUUAUCGGAGCACCUUAGGAUCAGGAGGCAUUUGAGGAUCAUCAGCCAUAGAUAUCGAGCAUUCGUUUUGUGGGCCCUCAUUUUGGUCACAGGGAGCCAAUUUGCUUCCUUGCUCAUUACCACCAGGUCUGGUGCUGCUGUUGAUAUUUACAGAGCUGGAGAACUUGCGCUAUGCUCUAUAACCCUUGUCACGGGGAUCCUAAUAAUACUGCGUAGUGCUACAAAAAUCACGCACAAGGCUCAAGCUGUUGCUUGCUUGGCUGCUAAGUGGCAUAUUUGUGCGACAUUAGACUCAUUUGACGCAACAGAAGGUGAGACCCCAAGGACUCCACUGAUGAUCACCGCCGAUGCAGAAUCAGAAGGUGAUGAUGCCGGCGACGAAGAGGAUGAGUUAGAUAACACUAAGUUGAUUCCUGCAUAUGCAUAUAGUACCAUCUCAUUCCAGAAGAGACAAGCUCUAGGUAAGAUUUACUACACUCGACACAAACUUUUGAGAUUAACUAGGGCUCAGUUGCCUAGAAUUUAAUAUUAAUCAAACCAUUGAUUAGUGUUUUGGAUAUGAUUUUAAUUAAUUACUAAUUUUAAUUAAUUUAUGGAUUAGUGACAUAUUUUGAGAACAAUAGAGCUGGGAUUACAGUAUACGGCUUCACACUGGAUCGGAGUACACUGCACUCCAUUUUCGGCGUUGAGUUAGCUCUAGUUCUAUGGUUGCUGGGAAAGACUGUCGGCAUUUCUUGAGAAAUAGGGUUUUUUACCAUAUGAAUGUUUAAUUAUCUGGCGAUCCUCCAAUAGGCUUUUUAGAUGCAGUGCGAGAGAGAUUGUAUCAUUGCAUUUAUGUUUCGGUGUAUUUUUUUUUUAAUUUUUUUAUUUUGCCUUAAAAGCAGUUUUGGGCGAUGGUUAUCUUUCCAUCUUUUGUUGGAGAAAAAUUAAUAGAAGUAUCAAUUUUCCUUCGGCUUAGAGAGACCGGCUUUGAUGUUAUUCUUUGUUCAUCUUCUUAUAUAGCAGUAGCAAUGCAUGCGU
rnacentral:misc_RNA from 1 species